AUGAACGCUGGCGGCGUGCCUCAUACAUGCAAGUAGAACGCUGAAGGCAGGAGCUUGCUCUUUCCGGGUGAGUUGCGAACGGGUGAGUAACGCGUAGGUAACCUGCCUGGUAGCGGGGGAUAACUAUUGGAAACGAUAGCUAAUACCGCAUAACAGUAGAUGUUGCAUGAUAUCUACUUAAAAGGUGCAAUUGCACCACUACCAGAUGGACCUGCGUUGUAUUAGCUAGUUGGUGAGGUAACGGCUCACCAAGGCGACGAUACAUAGCCGACCUGAGAGGGUGAUCGGCCACACUGGGACUGAGACACGGCCCAGACUCCUACGGGAGGCAGCAGUAGGGAAUCUUCGGCAAUGGACGGAAGUCUGACCGAGCAACGCCGCGUGAGUGAAGAAGGGUUUCGGAUCGUAAAGCUCUGUUGUAAGAGAAGAACGAGUGUGAGAGUGGAAAGUUCACACUGUGACGGUAUCUUACCAGAAAGGGACGGCUAACUACGUG
rnacentral:rRNA from 1 species